GGAAAUAACUCUCAUAUGGAGUCUCCGGAUAGCUUCGGUCAAAAUUAAUCAAAUCAUCCUGAGGAUAUAACGAACAAUUUGGUAAAAUAAAUAUGGUUGCGAAUAUUAAGCGAUAACAAGAAAAACAGUGUUUGGGGAGAUAACUCUUAUAUGAGAAAGUGUUCGGUUAAGCAGGGUCAGUUUCAAAAGCGUAUAAACUGUUCGAUAUGAUAUUCCAAAAAUCUAAGCGACAUCUUGCGAAACAAAAAAACAGCGAAGGAAAAAAAUUAGCCGG
rnacentral:lncRNA from 1 species